rnacentral:lncRNA from 1 species
GGAACUCGGUAGCUGAGUCACUCAGGUUGGUUAUUGUUGACAGGGAAGGAUCCGCCUAUAGAGAAAAUGCCAAGCAGCAGAUGGUAACAUUAUUUGGUGAUAAGAGUAUCAGCGAUCGAUGCAUGGACCAAUUUGUUGCCUUCCUACGAAGUCAUAGAAAAUUGCCAGCAGUGAUUAACAAUGACCUGCCCACGCACUCGCCAAACUGACACGUGUCAAUGCUUAUGUGUCGUGUCAUCUGGUUCUUCACUAGGUUUUUUUAAAAAGAGUCCGGAGGUUUAGACUCUAGAGUGCCUUUUUACUGUGUUUUUUUGUUUGUUUGUCUGUUUAUGUAGUGUAUAAAUAGACCAUUGAGUCGCUUCCUGAAACUAAAAUUUGUUUUCGAGAAAUUUAUGUAUUAUAUUAUAUCUAAAUAUUUACUUUAUUAAUUAUUAACAAAAAAACUGGAACUUCAAAAAACACAAAGGUACUACAAAAUUGAAAGCCGUGAUUGUCGGCAGGCAUUUGCGAAGAGAGGGGCCAUCAGCCAUGGCCCGUAGGAAGGAGGACUGUGGCUAAGAUUCCUUUAGGUUUUUUACCUGUCUCCCUCACUAAUAUUUUACUUUCUUCUGAAAAAAGGAAUUGCACAUUAAUCUCAUAUCUAAUUUCCAGCAAAUUCAUGCUAAUUAAAAAUCAUAUUUUCAUAUUGAAACAUUUUAACACAGAAAGAUCCACCGACAUUUGAAAAUUUCCCUUUCUGUUUAUUACACAACUUUCUCUGGAAAAUAAAUAGUCAGGUUCACAGAAAGCUUGGGGAAAUUUCUCACCGAUUAGUCACUGAUAGAAAGCCUAAACACGUGUUCUGCAAUGAUCUGCGCAGAUCCGUUAAUCUCCGGUGGGCGGUCAUUCACGAGGAAAUUUAAUUACGAGCGAUGGCAUUAUUGGCAUGCCCUACUCAAUUAUUUUUUGAGAAGUGACAUCUUAACUCCCUAUGCUCCAAAGGAAUACCUACCUACAAGAUCCCAAGCCAAGAGAAAAUGGAACGAAGAUGUCCACAUCAAAUAUAUAUAUAUAAAGAAGGAGGAGGAGGAGGAGGAGGAGGAACGAAGAUGUGAAAUGCAGGAGUCCAGAUCGAAGCCCACAUCAAAUAUAUAUAUAUAUAUAUAUAUAUAUAUAUAUAUAUAUAUAUAUAUAAGAUGGAGCCACGAAAAGCCACGUUAGGAAGGAAAAUAAAACAAAUCAGGAGUCAAGAUCGAAGCCCACACUUGAGAGAAGAUAAGAUUAUAAUUGAGCUGCUGGCCUGAGGCCUGUGGGUGUGCAUGCACCAGAGACAGUUGGAUAGGAGACAGACAGAGAUCAGACAUCUUGGUUUUGCAUUAGGUCCCCAUGUCAGUAAAUUUCAAACAAUUUAAGACAGAGACAGAGAAUUUAUUAAAUUAUUUUUUUUAAUAAUUUAAGACCAUAUAAUUUUAAGAUUCAAUAAAUUUAAUUUCCUUACUUUUCUCUGUGUCCGUCUCUAAUUGUGAGCCAAAGCUGUCGCAAAUCAUCCAUUUUGGAUAAUAAAUACAGUGUGCCACACAUUAAGCCCUUAACUCAAAAAACCAUGGGUACAAGAUUAUAACAGACCCACAGAGAGAAAAGCAAAAAAUAAAAUUAAAGCUGAGAUUAAUUCUCAAAAACAUAUAUGAUGAAGCAUGAAAUUGAGAUUUGUUUUUUUAAAAAAAUCAAAACUAAUCUAUGUUAACCAUUAAAACUUGUAACCUUAAUCAAGAGGCCAAAACCGACCAUAUAGAAGACAGAUCUUGAAAACUACAAAGCAAAAUUCUUAAUAAAAAAAAUAUGUUUAGAGAUGAAAUUAAAAAAAUAUUUAAAAAAAACAAUGAAAAAAAAUUAAAGUAAACUCGAGAUCAAGUUAACCCCACGACAAGGAAAGUGAAAAAAAAAAGCAUGAAGACCAAUAUAAAAAAAAAUUUGAAGGAUAAAAUUGAAAAUAAAUCAAAUUUAUAAACGAAUCUAGAAAACAAAUAUCAACCCAUAUUAAUUUUUGAAACCUGUGACUUGGCCAUAAGACUGUAGCUAACCUUAUAGAAGUGAAAAAACAAUGAAAAAAAAUUAUCAACAAAAAAAAUAUCAAGGAAUUAAAUUGGAACAAAAAUACAAUAAAAAAGCAUUCUAAGCAAAACAAUACAAUAAUAAAAAAUAGGAACCAAUCUCGAUAUAAAAAUAAAUUUAAAUCAAAUACUUAGAGAUACAAUUAAAAACAAAGUUUAAUUAGUAAAAAAGCAAAAAAAAUCAAUACAUUAAAGACCGGGUUUGAUAUGAAUAUCAAAUUAAAAUAAUGACAAAGAUAAAAAUAAAAAUAAAAAUUAAUUAAUAUAAGAUAAAAAAACAAAAAAACGUAAUAAUAAAAAAAUUUGAUUCAAAGGAUAUCAAAGUUGUUUUACUUUGUAUAAUGUAAAAAGACAAAUACAUCCCAUUAAUGUGUUAAUGCCCAAUAGACCCUUAUUAAAAGACCAAAAUAGUCUUUAGGUAUUUGGUUUGCUUUUAGAAAGAUAAAACAGAAAUGCUGGUGUAUUUAUUUUUUCAGUUAAAAAAUGCUUUAAAUUUAAUUAUAUAUAUGUUUUUAGAUUGUUUUGAUGAUAAAAAUAACUUUUAAAAAAUAAUAAAAAUCUAUAUUAAAAACUUUAAAAAACAUCUAUUAAUACAAUUUCAAAGAGUACGAGCCAGCUUCCCCAUCAAAUACUCGUUGUUAUACAUAGACAGCAAACAACAUACAGAAUUCACUUGCGGCUCUGUACUAGAGACAGCAUCAGUCAAUACCACCAGAUCUGGAAGAAUUUUUCAUUCGCAGCCAAAACCUACCAAUACUAAUAUAACUCGUAGUCAAUAGCAUCUUGCAACGACGAUCCCUCCGUAUCUUGUGAUCCUGCCCUGCAAAGAAAAGGGGCAGUGAUAAAAUAUAAAUGUAAAAUACAAUACACACACACACGCACCAAUCCAUAAUGAUCAUCUGCAAUGCCUUGCACCGACCCGUUUGGUUGCAUAACUAACCGUUGUUGCAAGUAAGGUACGCUCGUUGACGAACGGCGACGACGUCUUAUCUAAAAUAUACAUGAAACAUAUUUAUUUAUUUAAUCUUUCCUGUUUUUCUGAGAAUGAAAUGAAUUGGCUUGAUUAUUUACACUGCAGAUGAAUGAACCCUUUGUUUUCUGCAGAAGAGAAAAGGCCGAAGGGGGCAUUUUGAAUUUGGCACCCCUUAGUUUUGGGCUUCUGGCGGUCCCAUGUCCAGACCAUCCUUGGGCCUUUUGUUUUUGGGCUACACGAAGGGAAGUUGAGCGCUUAUGCUGAAAUCUUGUGCCCUUGUCUUCAGGGCUUCAAGCCGGCCAUCCCUAUGGCUAGGAGUCAGGAACUUUAAUUAUCGCGCCUAAAUUUUAAUUUGUUUUUUUUUAAGUUAUAAAACAGAUUGUGAGAUUUUUUUAGAAAAAUAAAAUAAUCUUUAAAUAAAACGUGAAGCAUUAUCUUUAUCUGAUUUAAUAAUAAAUAAACGAAUUUAAUAGUAUGGCUCAUUUUUCAUUAAUUUAUAAUGGUUUAGAUUCUUUUUCAUAUCUAUGUAAUAACCAGUUUUCUCAUAUGUAUUCUUAAAUUAGAGAAUUUCGAAGAGCUUUUAUUUCUUAUCCAUAUAAUAGAAUGGAGUGGUUGUUGUUAUCGUCCUCGUCGUCAUGAUGGGAGGAUAGUAAUAUAUCAGGUAUUAAUGAAGUCAUCGAUUUUCAUGUAAAAAAAUUUACAAUAAUAAUUCAAUUUCGAAAUAAAAAACUCUCAUUCGCUAGCUAUAUAUAUAUAUACACAUGGAAUACAGGAUAAGAAGCUAAAGCCACAAAAGCAUUUAGAUCAGGAAGUAUCAAUGGAUGAACCUCACGAGCUCCACAUAGCCAUGUUCCCAUGGCUUGCUUUCGGUCAUAUAAUCCCAUAUCUAGAGAUCGCCAAGCUAACAUCCAACGUUUACCAACUAUACCUCCAAAUUUAACACCGCGAAUCAAUUUUUAAUGCAUGGACCAUAUCCUUCUCUGGACCAUCAUCCUCAGCUAUGCUCAACGGCGACGAUCCAAGGACCGAACCGCAACACCUCACGGUCCCUCCAAAGUGGGUCACAUUUCCCUCUAAAGUGGCAUUUCGCAUCCAUGAAGCUAAGCGGUUUAUGGAUCAAAUUGAAGCGAACAGUUCAGGUGUCACUGAUGUAUUUCGUUGGGGAUCCGUGCUUGCUGGCUGUGAUGUUAUAGCCGUAAGGAGCUGCUUAGAGCUAGAGGCUGAUUUCAUAAGACUUGUGGAAGACCUUCACUGUAAGCCUGUAAUCCCAGUAGGCCUACUGCUACCAUCUACUCAGUCUCGCGAGGGCGGAGUGGACGAAAAAUGGGUUACGAUCAGUGAGUGGCUAGACAAGCAAACCCAAGGAUCUGUGGUUUACAUAGCGUUCGGAAGCGAGUUAACAAUAAAUCAAAAUGAAAUAACUGAAUUGGCUCUGGGGUUAGAGUUAUCAGGGCUGCCGUUCUUUUGGGCUUUCAGGAACCGGGAUGACUCGGUCAGGUUACCAGAUGGAUUUGAGGAACGAGUAAAAGGACGUGGAGUGGUGUGGACGAGCUGGGCACCACAACUAAGGAUUAUGGCUCAUGAAUCGGUCGGUGGUUUUUUGACUCACUGCGGCUUUAGCUCAGUUGCAGAGGCACUCUCCUUUGGACUAGCUUUGAUCAUGUUACCUUUCGCUAUAGACCAAGGAUUAAUCGCAAGGGUUUUUGAAGAGAAGAAGGUUGGGAUAGAAGUGCCGAGAGAUGAGCAGGACGGGUCGUUUACGAGGAACUCGGUAGCUGAGUCACUCAGGUUGGUUAUUGUUGACAAGGAAGGAUCCGCGUAUAGAGAAAAUGCCAAGCAGCAGAUGGUGACAUUAUUUGGUGAUAAGAGUAUCAGCGAUCGUUGCGGGGACCAAUUUGUUGCCUUCUUACGAAGUCAUAGAAAAUUGCCAGCAGUGAUUAACGAUGACUUGCCCACGCACUCGCCAAACUGACAUGUUCCACUUGCUUAUGUGCCAUCCGGUUCUUGACUAGGUUCUAAAAUAGAGUCCGUAGGUUUAGACUCUGGAGUGCCUUUUUUUUUUUUUUUUUUUUCAUGCAGUGUAGAGAGUAUAUACUAUUGAGUGC